rnacentral:snoRNA from 1 species
GUAUGAUGAGACAACUUAUAGAUGACGAGUCUGAUCUAAAAUCGUGAAGACACAACUUUUUUUAAUACCAUUCAUGCAUUUCUGAUC